ACGCUGAAACGCCGUUUUCCGUACGGUCAUCGAAGUUAAGCAACGUUGAGCCUGGUCAGUACCUAGAUGGGUGACCGCUUGGGAAUAGCUAGGUGCAG